rnacentral:other from 1 species
GUCUGCCUGACCUCGCCGAUCAGGCAUUUCUUGAACCGAUGCGCUUUGCCUCGGGCCUGGAAUAUUUCACAUGGGUGCGCAGUGUCUCGCGCAGACGCUCCCGAAAUGUGGUGACCUCGCCCACCUGUCCCAACAGGGUUCAGGGAUCAAUGGUCGGCGGGGUUCGGGCAGACA